UUAGUCCUAACCUUACCGUUGGUUCCUACUAAACCUACACAUGCAAGUAUCUGCGACCCGGUGUGAAUGCCCUCAGACUCUUACUAAGAAAAGAGGAGCCGGCAUCAGGCGCGCCCCGCAGCCCACGACGCCUUGCUCAGCCACACCCCCACGGGCCUUCAGCAGUGACUAACAUUAAGCUAUAAGUGCAAACUUGACUUAGUUAUAGUAGAUCAGGGUUGGUAAAUCUUGUGCCAGCCACCGCGGUCACACAAGAAACCCAAAUCAACUGUACACGGCGUAAAGAGUGGUCCAAACACUAUCCUCAUUAACUAGGACUAAAUUGCAAUCGAGCUGUCAUAAGCCUACGAUGUACCCAAACCCUCAUUAACAUAGACCUAGCACUAAGGAUCGACUAGCCCCACGAAAGCCGGGAAACAAACUGGGAUUAGAUACCCCACUAUGCCCUGCCCUAAAUCCUGGUGCCCCUUACUACCAAAGCACCCGCCCGGGGACUACGAGCACAAACGCUUAAAACCCUAAGGACUUGGCGGUGUCCCAAACCCCCCUAGAGGAGCCUGUUCUGUAAUCGAUAACCCACGCUACACCCCACCCCUCCUUGCCAGAGCAGCCUACAUACCGCCGUCGCCAGCCCACCUCACAUGAUAGUACAAUAGUGGGCACAACAAUUACCUCGUUAACAAGACAGGUCAAGGUAUAGCCUAUGGAGGGGAAGAAAUGGGCUACAUUUUCUAACCUAGACCAUACACGAAAGAGGGUCUGAAACGACCCUUAGAAGGAGGAUUUAGCAGUAAAACAUGACAAUCAUGCCUGUUUUAAGCCGGCCCUGGGACA
rnacentral:ncRNA from 1 species